UACGUAGGGGGCAAGCGUUGUCCGGAUUUAUUGGGCGUAAAGAGCUCGUAGGCGGCUUGGCAAGUCGGGUGUGAAAACUUCAGGCUCAACCUGGAGCGGCCACUCGAUACUGCCAUGGCUUGAGUCCGGUAGGGGACCACGGAAUUCCUGGUGUAGCGGUGAAAUGCGCAGAUAUCAGGAGGAACACCAGUGGCGAAGGCGGUGGUCUGGGCCGGAACUGACGCUGAGGAGCGAAAGCGUGGGGAGCAAACAGG
rnacentral:rRNA from 1 species